rnacentral:rRNA from 1 species
CCUACGGGAGGCAGCAGUAGGGAAUUUUGCUCAAUGGGGGAAACCCUGAACCAGCAACGCCGCGUGGAGGAUGAAGGCUUUCGGAUUGUAAACUCCUUUUGUUAGAGAAGAUAAUGACGGUAUCUAACUAUUUAGCAGCGGCUAACUCCGUGCCAGCAGCCGCGGUAAUACGGAGGGUGCAAGCGUUACUCGGAAUCACUGGGCGUAAAGGGCGUGUAGGCGGGUUAGCAAGUCAGAUGUGAAAUCCUAUGGCUCAACCAUAGAACUGCAUUGGAAACUGGUAUUCUAGAGUAUGGGAGAGGUAGGUGGAAUUCUAGGUGUAGCGGUGAAAUGCGUAGAGAUCAAGAGGAAUACUGAUUGCGAAGGCAGCCUGCUAGAACAUCACUGACGCUGAUGCGCGAAAGCGUGGGGAGCAAACAGGAUUAGAUACCCGGGUAGUC